rfam:Capsicum annuum cultivar Zunla-1 chromosome 12, whole genome shotgun sequence
AACUGUUGGUGGUGUGGACAAUCCCGAAGAAGGGCCUUGAAAUGUUCCCAAACAUAAUAGAGAUUUUCAUCAGGCUUCUGUUUGAAGCUCGCUAUCUCACUGCAAAGUCU